UCAAGAGGGAGAGAAGCCUCAGGACAUGACAUGUCAAAAGACAGAGUAUUUUGCCACUGUGUACCAGUCACUUGAAGAGCCUGGUGGCAGGGAUUGGAGCCAGAUCCAUUUGCAAAGUCCAUCACCAGACUGCGUUUCCUGUUAUUCAUGGGGCUGGGGCGCAGGUCCUCUGCAGAACUGCCACGGUUGUGUUUGGAGCUGAGAAGAGGGCUCUUGUGCUACAGUCUGUGACACAGAGCGCAGUGAUUACACUUGAGCCUAUACCAGCACAGACUAACGAAGAAGCUGAGUGAUUCAGCUGCUGAAGUGAUCACGGGGAGGAUAUGUUUCAUCAUUUGUGAUAUUCUAUGGUGAUUAUAACUCCUGCUCAGUUACUCUCCAUGCCACGCUCUCUACAACAUGAGUAACAAGUGGCUUCAGGCACUUUUCUUCUGUGGAGGAUGAA